AGAGAAACUAGAUUAUGCUUCUAAAUUCGUCUCCUCUGGAAAGUAUUCUGAAGCUUGCAAUUUGUAUAGGAUCAUUGAUCAACAACAAAUGGAACUAUACCAUCCACUCUCAAUUGGUUUGAUGCGAACUCGGGAGACCCUUGUAAUGAUACUGAUGGAGCUAAAGGACUGCGAAGAAGCAUUAAGAUAUUGCCAAUUAACUAUUCUUGUUUACCAAAGGGCAUAUCCAGG